CUACGGGGCGCUGCAGUGAGGAAUAUUGCACAAUGGGGGGAACCCUGAUGCAGCAACGCCGCGUGGAGGAUGAAGCAUUUCGGUGUGUGAACUCCUUUUAUAUGUCAAGAAAAUGACGGUAGCAUAUGAAUAAGCACCGGCUAACUCCGUGCCAGCAGCCGCGGUAAUACGGAGGGUGCAAGCGUUACUCGGAAUCACUGGGCGUAAAGGACGCGUAGGCGGGUUGGAAAGUCAGGUGUGAAAUCCUACAGCUUAACUGUAGAACUGCACUUGAAACUUCUAAUCUAGAGUAUGGGAGGGGGAGAUGGAAUUAGUGGUGUAGGGGUAAAAUCCGUAGAUAUCACUAGGAAUACCUAAAGCGAAGGCGAUCUCCUGGAACAUUACUGACGCUAAGGCGUGAAAGCGUGGCGAGCAACCAGGAUUAGAUACCCCUGUAGUC
rnacentral:rRNA from 1 species